GUACCCUCAAGCUUUGCUUGGUGUUGGGCGUCUUUUUGUCUCCCCUUGCGGGAGACUCGCCUUAAAGUCAUUGGCAGCCGGCCUACUGGUUUCGGAGCGCAGCACAAGUCGCGCUCUCUUCCAGCCCCAAGGUCUAGCAUCCACCAAGCCUUUUUUUUUCAAC
rnacentral:misc_RNA from 1 species